ACUUUCAACUUGUUAUUUAUCUCCAUUUGCUCGACAAUGCAUACUAAUGCGUACACGUACGACACACAAGUAUAAAGGGAGACGUUUCCACGAUUAAUUCAGUCCUGGUUUGGUUUCCAGCGUAAAUAGGAUGUGCUUGUGCGAUGAAUUCUCCGAGCAGUGAUAAUAAUGAUACUAAUAAUCAGUCUGCAAGAAUGCUUCCAAUCGUUGUACUAAUAACAUAAAUGGAUAAUAUGUACAUCGCAGGAGACCAGUUGAAGGGUGAUGGUAUGCAAACGAUACAUACACAGAACAUGUCCAAUUCUGUAAUUGAAAGAAACAAAAAUAUUAUAACAAAAUUUCCGUUUCCCCUCUACAACAGAUUUCAUCAAAAUUGGCGUAUAGAUCCUGAAAUGUCGAGGCAUUAUUGGACCGCAUCUUUUUUCUUACCAGUCGGAUCGAUUUUCAUUCUUGGAGUAGUUGUUUUGCUAAUGGUAUUGUUCAAACGAUGUCCACAUACGGUAGCCGCGAUUGUUGCCGCAAUCCUUGCCAUCAUUGUCAUAUUGACAGCUUUAGUGUCACUUAAUCAUGAGCCAAUUUAUACUUAAUAUUGAAGCCAAAUAAUUACCGACUGUUAUAUUUAAUAAUUUUUUUCUCUUUUAUAUACAUUAAACUUUGAGAGUAUAGAACUGAUCGAAUUUUAUAACAAUUGUAUACAUUAAAUAAAUAC